CUUCACCAUGUGGGAGGAAGGAAGAGCAACAGGCGGGUGGGCUCUCUUGCUGUCUCACUGCCUGUGCCUCACUGGGCCCUUGAAGAGGGCUGCUGCAACAAAUUACCACAGACUAAGUGACUUAAAACAACAGAAAUUUAUCCUCUCAAGAUUCUGGAGGCCAGAAGACCAAAAUCAGGGUGUCAGCAGGGCCUCCUAGGGUAUAAUCGAGCAGAGAGGAGGGAGACCUCGUACCACCAUGAAAGAAGUGCCAGGAGUGGAGUGCAUCCUUUGGACCCAGGCUCCCUGUACUGAGAAGCCCCUAGACCAGAGGAAGAUCAAUGACAAGGACCUUCCCCCAGAACUGAUAGAGAAAGAAGUCUUUCCCAGGAGCUGGCGCUCUGAACUUGGACUUCUAGCCUCCUAGACUGUGAGAGAUAACUAACUGGGUGUCUUAGUUAUCUAGUGCUGCUGUAACAGAAAUACCACAAGUGGAUGGCUUUAACAAAGAGAAGUUUAUUCUCUUGGUUUCCUUGUGUGUCACAGGUGCCAACUAAGGUACAAACCCAGCAAGGAGAACUCUGAGCAUCAUAUGCCCUGGUAUUUUUCACUAUAUGCACCUUUAAGCUGACAGGACCCAAAGUUGUAGCUGUAAGUGCUGCCUUCUGAGGAGUGACCAUGAAGAGGUAUUUCCUCCAUCUAUUCUGAGCACUCUCAGGAUCUCCUUAGAUCUGGAAUUCAGACCUUGAAGAGCAAGGAAAUCCAAGUGGACAUUGUAAAAGAAGGAACCAGAGGAUCUAAAAUCCCAACUGACUGGAUUGGUACUUCGAGGGUUAAGUGUAUGCACUCUGGGGUGACAAGUACCUCCUCCUCUUCAUUUUCUGUCCCUCAUUAGGAGGGACCUAAUGAGGGACACUUACAGUCCAGAGGUGGUGGCCCAGGGCUGGCCUGCCUUUCCUGGUGGCCCUGGGUGGGGAGGGGUCAUAGGAGACCUGGCUUUUGGGCACCUGAACUCACAGGGUUCUAAACUAGUUAGUGAAAGCUCUAGGGCCUUUCAAUAUUUAUUUACCUUUGUUUUAUCCUAAACUGGAGUUACUGUUUACUCUGUAUUGAUAAAGACAACUGGCAUUACUCACUACCUGAUUGCCAAGGUCCUCAGCUUUUCACCCAUUAAUAGCUUUUUCCACCAUCCAGCAAUGAGUUUGUGGUACCGUGGAGGCUUGCAUGUUGCUAUGAUGCUGGAAGCUAUGCCACCAAUGUUUCAAACGGCAGGGGCACCCACGGUGGAGAGGUUUCCACAGAGCUUCCAGAUAAGACAGAUUAGGAAGAAAGGCCUGAUGAGCUACUUCUGAAAAUUACCUGAUAAGAACGCUAUGGAUCACAACAGAACAGUGGCUGACAUAGUGCUGGAAGAUGAGCCCUCUAGAAUGGAAGGCAUUCAAGAUACAGAGUGGCCGCAACAAUGGACUCAAGCACACAGAUGAUCGUGAACAUGGCGCAGGACUGGGCAACAUUUUGUUCUGUUGUACAUAGUGUUGCCAUGGGUGGGAACAGGUUCUUAUGGCAACUAACAGUCAUAGCUUUUUUGGCCACUUCCCGUGAAGUGGCUAGAAAUGAAAGGUGUGAAAUGCAGGUUAACGUUAUCAUUCAGUGACAGUAGAAGCAAAAAACAUCUAUUGAACGUAUUCUAUGUGGCAGGCACUGAGCUAAGUCACCUUACAAACUCAUCUCACUUGACCUGCCAGCCACCCUUGGGAACUUGGUGUGGGAUGUGAUGUGGAAGGGGUGGGAUGCCACUGCACCCGUUCAAGACAGCAUGAAACUUUCCUAUGAGUCAUUGAUGGACAGGAAAUCCAACAACAAAACAACCCUUUUUAUUAGUUUUCUGGUUGAAAAUGUUUGACGAGUGCUAUUGUUUCCAGCCCUGGCUGAUCAUCAGAAAUAUGUGUGGAGAUUUAUCAAAACACAGAACUGGGACGGGGCCCCAGGAAUAUGUUCCAGCUGCUCUCAGGUGGUGCCCAGCAGUCUGCAUUUUAAUCCCAACUCCAUGCCUCUGAUUCUGAUGACCAGGUGGGUUCGAGGAUCACGGGGCUAGAGGAGAGACCAUCGUGUAGGGAGUGAGUGUAUGUGGGUCUCAGUUCUGCCAUUAAUAGGCGGAGUGAGUGAAUUUUUACUUUUCUGUGCCUUUGUUUCUGGAUCUGUAGAAUGGGGAUAAAAAUGCCUACCGUGACUGCACAUUGGAAGUCAUUGUGAGGAAAAAGCUUGUUGUUGUUAGCUACCGUCCAGUUGGCCUCUGGCUCAUGGCAACCCUAUGCACAAUGGAACAAAACCCUGAGUGGUUCUGCACCAUCUCCAUGAUCUGUUGCAGAUUGAAAUGCUGUGAUCCAUAAGGUUUUCACUGGCUGAUUUUUAGAAGUAGGUGGCCAGGCCUUUCUUCCUAGUCCAUCUUAGGAUCUAACGGAAAAAAAAAAAAAACCAUUGCCGUCAAGUCUAUUCCAACUCAUAGAAGCUCUGCUGAAACCUGCAUUAUAGCAACACGCAAGCCUCCACUGACAGACAGGUGGUGAUUGCCUAUGCGGUACAUUAGCUGGGAGCUGAACCCGGGCCUCCUACAUGGAAGGUGAGAAUUCUACCACGACCCAGCACUGCCUCAUGAGGAAGAUGUGAAGUGAUAGAGCAGCUGUUAAACUCUGAAAGGCUAACAGCGCUUUGUCAGUGCACACCAGGGAUGUGUGAGCACAAGCUUCACGUCAACCCUGUCAGAAUUGGGGAUCAAAUAUUUUCAGCUUGUUGUUAACAGAGUAUGUGUAAAAUUGUGGAUUAUUGUUGCUCGUACCGCAAUUUAGGCUCUUUUAUUACACACCUUACAGGUAAGUCACUUAUAUAGUUGAGUUUGUCUACAGGCAGUCCCCAACUUAUGAACGUCUGACUUAUACUUGCCCUUUAAUGUUAUAUAAAUUUGCUCUCACUUUGAAAGAACUGAAAAAUUCUUCAUCGCAAUCACCUUCACUUGCUGCAGGUGCAGGUUGAAAUCAUUGAAAAGGCUUUGAGCCUUUUCUUCCACUAAAGUCGGCUAAAUAAGAUCUGUGUGCACCUGUUUUGACUUACCUACAUAUUCCACUUAACGACUUCAAGACACAGUUAGGAAUGGCUCUUUUUGGCAACCCCGGGAACUGCCUGUAUUAAAACUUUUCUUCUACAGGUUGAAUAUUCUGUUCUUUUAUCUUUAUAGGAAUCAUAGGAAUUUUAGGACCAGAAGGGUCUUUUCCACAUAAUUUUCACCAUCAUCCUGAAAUUCGCUGGUGAAUCUUCCCCAAUGCUUUAACUACCUCAUUAGUUGUGGAAUUCGGGCCUAGGCACCAAAUCUCAACCCAGCAGAACACAACAGAACAAUGACCUCAGGGUCCUCAUAGUCCUGAAUACAUGUGCAUCCCUAACUGCCUCACAGUUGGAGGACAUUGUGGUCUCUUUCUGGAGUGUCCAGCUGGACAUUACCUCUUCCCUGGAGCCUCCCGACCCAUGCCCACCCAGCUCUAGCCCCUGUUGGAGGGCGUCUCUGUGCUCAUCCAUGGGCCAUCUGGGUAGUGUGGACACCUGGCCCAAGGUGGGCACCGAUCAGAUUCCUCUGGAAAAUACAGAGAUGAGACCCAGAAUAAAAGUUAGCGGUGGGAAGCUGAGCUGAAAAGCCCUGUAGAAUGCCAGAGCGGGCACGGUGGCUAGACAAGUGUGUGCUGCAGCUCUGGGAGAACGUGAACAGUGUGGAGCCGGGGAAGAUCUUCUGCAGAGGGCAGGAUAGGGCACAGGAAAAGAGGGAGGCCAGCGGUGCAGACCACGUGACCCCAGAGAGAAGGAGGGCCAGUCCUUGGGAGCACGUGAUUCCUGCCUGAGUCACCUUGAAUGGAUUUCUUUUUCCUACAACUCCAAGAGCCUUGAGUAGGAUGCAGCCUAGAAAGGAUUGGGAGCUAGAGACAAGCGUUUUAUGGUGCAUAUGAGAAAGUGUGUAGAAGCAGGUGGGCCCGCAGCAGGGGACAGGUUAUGCCCCUCAGUCACUCAGUGAAUGAUCUUUUCCCAGUCAGAGGGUAGAAUCUCUGGGACUGUUUCCAGAAUACACACGCCUGCCUAGUGCCUACCAGGCUGUCCGCUGCCGGGUGUCAAUGUGUAAAACUCAGCGUGUCAUCGCAGUUGGCUGUCCGCCCUGUGCAGAGCCUGGGUGACGACAAUGAAGCAACCCCCCUCCAGUCUCAGGGUGGGCAAGGCUAACAGGCAGGCCUGGCCAGUCCCCAGCUCAGAAUCACAGCACCUUAUAACCAUCGGGGGCGUUAGAAAGCAUCUUCCAACCUCCCACCUGGUUGGUGGAAAAAGAAGCUUUUCUGCUUACCGGCCUCUCCCCAGCCACUUCUAAAUCACAACAGGGUUCUCCAUCCCAGCUUCCUGGGGAUAGCAGCUGCCUCAUAACAUCCAGCAAAAACAACUAUUAGAUGUGACGGAGACCGUGAAACCCCAGACCUAACUAAGCUCUUGUAUCUGGAUAGGCAAUUUUUUUUUUUUUUUCCCACAAGAAAAUCAACCAGUUGAGCCCAAUUGAAAAUAUUUUGUUUUUUUUAAGCUGUUAUUUAAUUUUUUUUUUUUCUGUCCUUCAGCCAAUUGCUUGGUAUCCACUUACAGCGGCGUCUGUAAAGGCCGCGGUGUUUUCAUUUCCGCUGCUUCUGCUUGCAGUCUCAGGUGGCGGGGUUUAGGAUGGAUCUUUGUGUAGGUGGUAACAGAAGGGAAGCUAAGUGACCACUGUUGUUCAGGCUUCACUUGCCAAUGCUGUCAACAUUUACAUAAAAGCGAAGACGAGAAGGCAAAGAGGGGCAGGGAAACUGGACGGAUGGAAAGGGGGCCAGUGGGGUGGACACGGGGAGAGUGCUGACACAUUGUGGGGACUGUAACCAAUGACAAGGAACCAUUUGUGUAUGAAUUGUUGAAUAGGAAUCUAAAUUGCUGUGUAAACUUUUCACCCAAAACACAAUUUUAAAAAGGCAAUCUCUUCUCUUUGGCUUUAUUUUCAUAUAUACAUACAUAUAUAUAAAACAUUUUUAAUUCCUCAAAUCGUGAAUAUAUUCUCAUUAUAAAAAUAUACACAAAAAAGAGAUUUCCCCUUGUCUUUCUAUUUUAAUGCUUCUCUCAGAGGAGAGUUUGGUGUGUCUCUUAACCUUUUCCUGUGUGUUUGUGUAUUCAUGUAAAAUCAAAAAAACCCAAACCCAUUGCAGUUGUGUUGAUUCUGACUCAUAGAGGACCCUAUAGGACAGAGUGGAACUGCUCCAUAGGGUUUUCAAGGAGCGGCUGGUGGGUUUGAACUGCUGACCUUUUUGGUUAGUGUUAUUUUGUUUUGUUUUUCUUAAGAUAAAUUGGAUUUUACUAUUAACAUUGUUUUGAAACUUUUUAUACUUAAGAAUGCAGAGCUCUUCUCAGGUCAGCAUGCACUGAUCUACCUCACUCUUUUCAACUGUUGCAAAGUUAUACAAUACCGAUGGGCCGCAAUAUGACCUUUCCCUAUUGAUGGACAUUUGUUUCCAGCUUUUGAACUAUUUAAGUUUUUAAAGUCAGGUUAUAUACGGUAAAAUUCGCCUUUCAAAGUGUACAGAUAAAGUUUUAACAAACACAUAGUCCAUCAUCACCAUCAGGAGACAGAACACUCCCACCACCCCCAAAGUUUCUGUGUCUCUUUGUCGCCAACCCCUCUGUGUACCCCCACCCCCAGGCAAACCCUGACCUGUGCUUUUGUCUCCAGUUUUUUCUUUUCCAGAUGUCAUAUAACUGGAAGCAUACAGUCUGUAGCCCUUGGAGUCUAGCUCCUUUCCCUUGGCAUAAUGCAUUGACGAUUCACCCAAGAGGCUGUAUUAGUAGCUCUUCCUUUUCGUUGCUGGGUAGUCUGCCAUCGUAUGACUACAGUGUACCACAGUUAGUUUGUCUAGUCACCAGCCGACGGUCAUUCGGGUGGUUUCCAGUUUUUGGCAAUUAUGUUUAAAGCCUCUAUAAACAUUUGUGUUCAGGUUUUUGGGUGAACAUGCACCUUCUUUCUCCUGGGUGAAGACCUACUAGUAGGAUUGCUUGGUUGUAUAGUGUAUGUUCAAUUUUAUAAGAAACUGCCAAACAGUUUUCUAAUGUACCUGCAUCAUUUCACAUCCCCGCUAGCAUUGUAUGAGAGCUCUAGUUGCUCUGCAUGUUUGUCAGCACUUAGUACUGUCAGGAUUUUAAAGAUUUUAGUCAUCCUUGCAGAUGUUUAUGGGGACAUUGGUGGUUCAGUGGUUGAAUUAUCACUUUCCAUAGGGGAGACCAAGGUUUGAUUCCCAGCCAAUGCAUUUCAAAUGCAGCCACCACCAGUCUAUCAUUCGAGGCUUACACGUUGCUAUGGUUCUGAACCGGUUUCAGCAGAGCUUCCAGACUAGGACAGACUAGGAAGAAAGGCCUAGCAAUCUACUUCUGAAAACCAACCACUGAAAACCCCAUGGAUCACAACGGUCUGAUCAGCAACCCGAUCAUGGGGAUGGUGCAGGUCUGUUUCAUUUCAUUCUGCCCGGGGUCAACAUGAGACAAUAACUAAGAGCAACAGCAGGUGUCUAAUGCUCUAUGUCUAAUGUUCUAUUGUAGUUUUAAUCUGCAUUUCCCUAAUGCGGUGGGAAUCCAGUGAUGCUGAGCAGCUUUUCAUGUGCUUAUUUGACCACCCAUAUAUAUCCUUGGUGAAGUAUAUGUUCACAUUUUUUUGUCCAUUUUAAAAAUUGGCCCACUUGCUUUAUUUAGUUUUGAGAGUUCUUUAUAUCAUCUGAAUACGUCUUUUUUAUGUGUUUUAGAAAUAUAUUGUCCUGUGUAUAAUUUUUAAAGUUUGCCUUUCAACAUCACUGAUGAGAGAUCGUUGCUUAUCUAUUUCUGAAGAUAGUUAUCAGUAGUUCAUGCUAUAGUGAUAUCUCUUUGGAAGUCUACAUUUGACAAUGUUUUCUGAACACAUGACUGAACACUCUCUGAUGUCUAAGCUGGGUCCUUGGUAGUCUGGAGGGGAGCCUGGGCUGGUUUAAGGAAGAGACUGAAGUGAGAACUCAUUUGGUAGUCUGUUACCUCUCCAUCAUUUCCAACUUUUCCAUUAGUAAAGCUAAUCAUUUGACUCCAUUUAGCUCCUGCUCCUCACCUGUCUUUAUUAAUUAGAACCUGCAAUGGGUAAGGGUGAAGAUUGAGACCUCUAACACAUAAUACACAAAUGUUGGUUGUGACUGCUGCUCUAGUUGGACUAUAUCAAAGAAAUAUGUUCAGGGAUGAAUCAAAGUGAAAAAUCUAAAGCCUGCUACAAAUAAGUUAGUAAUCGGGUCAUUUACAUCACCAUGUACACAACUGAAGGUUAGCCUUGCCUGCCUUUCAUCCAUUCUGCCUGGUCCCAGGCUGAGGUUACCCAACACCCAAGUUCUUUCAUCUGGCAGACCGGGCUCAGCUUGUCUAGCCACAGCCUUUUGCUACCCCACUGUGUCUGUAAGUAACUGAAGGUUGUCUGUGGGUUCUCACUCCAGUCACCUCACAAAGGCAGGCUGUUCCUUAAUGCCUUUGCACUUGUUUUCUCUGUACUUCCCUUUCCCUCACUCUUGUUGAGCUCCUUGUUGUUGUUAGUUGUUGCUGAGUCAGCCCCAACUUGUGAUAACUUUGUGCAUAAAAGACUGAAAUGUUGCUCAAUCCUGUACCAUCUUUAUGAUCGUUGGUGUGUUUGGGUCCAUUGUUGUGGCUUUGUCAAUCCAUCUCAUUAAGGGUUUCCCUAGACCUCUUUAAAACCCAGUACAGAUACCAACUCCUCUAAGAGGUCUUUCUUGACUCCCCAAAGAUAGAAUUAAUCAUUUCAUUGUCUGUACUACCUCCAUAUUUAAUGCAUGAUAAUAGCUAACAAUGAUGUGGUACUUUCUAUGGUCAUGCAGUUUUCUAAGUGUUUUACAUAUUUGACUCAUUUAUUUUCAUCACAAUUCUAUGAGGUAGAUACUCUUAAUAUUCCUAUUUUGCAGAUGAGGAAACUGAAGCACAGAAGGUAAACAAGUUGCUCUAGGUCAUAGGCUUUGAUCCCCAAGUGUGACUAGCCAAGUCACUGGCUUUCUCAUGAGCUUGGGACUGGAGAGUCACUAGGUGGCCUAGGACAUACAUAAAUCAAGUACACUGGCCAUUUGCAGUCAUUCUUGAGAAAUAUCUCCUUAUCUAAAUGCAGAGCAAAUAAGGACAUUAUUCCACAAAAUGAGAAACUCCACAACCUGAAAAAUUGGAAACCAAAUCUUUAAAACCAAAACAACUCAGGCAGAAUCCAGAAUCAACUCUUUUUUGGCUUGGGAAAGCUGUCUUGAGACUUUGCUAUCCAUUAAUUAGCAAGAAGUCAAAGACAAGGAGCACUGCUAGAAGAAUCACAACUGUGGGCAAUCAGCAGCGUAGCACUCAUUACCUAACACAUAACAGUAAAUAAGAGCUUCCAUUCUGAAUGCUGUUCUAGGAUUUGGUGAAUCUCAGUUCUGCCCAUAAUGACUGUAUGACCUUGGGCAGGUUCUUUAAUCUCUCAAUGCCUCAGGUUUCUUAUCUAUAAAAGGAAGGUUAUAAGAAAACUCACAGGGUUGCUGUGAGGAUGAAAUGAGUAAAUCUGCAUCAAAUGCUUAGCACAGUGCCUGGCACAUAGCAAGGGUCUGAUAAACACGAGCUCUUACUCUUAUUUAGUAAGGUAGGCAGAGGAGUGUGGUGGUAGGUAAGGCACCUUAUCACAAACCGUACCUGGCACAUAGUGGGUAUCAAUGAUUUUUCACUGAAGGAACAAAUGGCAUAGUGACUGAUGGGCUUUUGUUCAAAGAGAGAAAUAGAAAGGCACCUGCAAGUAAGGCUUAAAUGUUGCAAAGUCCAGCCCCAGCCCAGUAAACACUUUAAUUCAGCCCUGUAUUAAUAAGACUGUAUUAUAGACAUCUGCUGUAUGUGUUCAUAAUAUGGUUCUGAGGCACUGUAUAAAUCCAUUUAUUUCUUAAGAAUCACUGAUGAUUAAAUUAUAUUUAACGAAGUUUUAAAAUUAACUUACUGCAUUCAAAUGCUUUAAAAAUUUGAAACCCAUGUACAGCAUUCUGCUAGUGAACUUCUAAAACUGAGACACUUGGCAUAAUAAAAUGGCUGGCAAGUGGUCUGAAUCAAAACUCCAUUUUGUAACAAGUUCUUACUUCUGUAGGAGAAUGUAUGUAACCUUGACUUCUUCCUAUUCAUAUCCAUAUGGCCUCGGGCCUCUGGCUGGUGGGACCAAAAGAGCUUUGCCCCCUGUUAUCUUGUGCAACUGGCUUGCCUCAAGCCACUCUUAAGUAAAUAAGGGUAGGGGUCAGGAAAGGGAUUGUAGGAGAAUUAAUUUACUCAAGAUGUUCCAGGAAGAGGGUAGUUGAAAAUAAAGUUGUUGAUGAUGUACCCACCUUGUGACCAUGUGACCAUCAUGCACUCCCCUUCCCCAUCUUUACUAUAAAAGCACACUUCUCCUUCCAUGCUUUGGAGCACUUGGUAGAUUCCUCUCUGCCCUGAGUUUCCCCAAUUCACUCAUGGUAUUCCCCUCAAUGAAUCUUUGCUUUUACUUUAACAGAGUGAGUGUUCUUACUCUUUGACAGCAUAAAUGGCAACACUAUAUUAACUCGAAUAUUCUGAUUGAUCACAGCACUUAGUUCUCACCUCUGUACCACACUGUAUUAUUAUCCUGUCUUCAUCCUGUGGGAAGGGAGAUUUGGGGGUCUGGGUUUGAGUAAGGAUGCCAAAGACAAACACCCCUUCUUCACAACUUUGCGGUCUGCUCCAUUAUCCUGGUUUGGAGGUGGGAUUGAGGGGAGGGGAGAUUUUGGGGAAAGUAUACUGAAACUCAUUUCCCCCCAUGGGUAUUACUCCACUAAGGAGGGACCAGUACUCAUGAUGGAAUGUUAGGCAAAGAAUGGUUCUUGAAAAUGCACAUUACCGGUCUCUCAGCAUUGUUUCUAAGAAUUAAAUAAGGUAAAUUUAGAGCAGUUUAACUCAUCACCUGGUACACAAGGGCCUGAUACGCGUUUACUAUGAUUCCAGUGAUAAGCACCACCAUGAACAAAAAUAAGCCUUAAAGAAAAUUUGCUCAUGACCAUUAGGAAUAACUGCAACUCUGCUGGAAUCCAUGAGUUGCUCAUGAUAUGACAGAGCAAAAUCAUUUUUCUUUUUUAAGAUAUAUCACUUUAGAAGUUACUGUGGCAACAUGUAAUUUCAAAUCUUUCCAAUGCCCAGCAGCUGUAAUCUUAUGACAUUUUGUCAGCUAAAAUAUCCCCUAUGUGUGUGCGUUAGUUGAGUUUAACAAUCUCAUAUGUUCAAUAUAGCUUUCCUGUCUACUUAGGUGUCAUCUUUUUUUUUGUUAUUAUUGUGCUUUAAGUGAAAGUUUAUAGUUCAAGUUAGUUUCUCAUACAAAAAUUUAUACACAUAUUGUUAUGUGACCCUAGUUGCUCUCCCUACAAUGUGACAGCACACUCCUUUUCACCCUGUAUUUCCCGUGUCCAUUCAAUAGCUCCUGUCCCUUUCUGCCUUCUCAUCUCUCCUCUGGACAGGAGCUGCCCAUUUAGUCUCAUGUGUCUACUUGAACUAAGAAGCACUCUCCUCACAAGUAUCAUCUUGUGUCUUAUUGUCCAGUCUAAUCUUUGUCUAAAGAGUUGGCUUCCGGAAUGGUUUUAGUCUUGGGCUAACAGAGAGUCGGGGAGACUCCCUCAUCAGUCUUCCUUGCUCUCAAUCUCUCAGCAGUUAUAUGGAUUUAGGAUUCUUACUUUCUGAUCUUUGGCUGUCAAAAGCAUAUUUAUCAGAGCAAAAAAGCCUGGAAAUAAAAGAAUAAGGGAUUUGUUUGGAGGAGGCUAUCCUCUGUAACCAACAGCCAUAUUUUAGUAUUAAAUAAAAAGGUAAUUUCAAAAAAUUAAUCAAGAAUGACACCAAUCCACCUAGAUUGACUAUCCUACAGGAGAGGCUACACGUGUUUAAGGGACCCAAGCAGAUACAAGCAUGUGUGAUGAGGUGAAAGGUAACUAAAAUAAGCUGAAGAAACCAGGUUUACAGAAAUACCAAAGCACAGUUUCAAAUGAGACAGAGCUUUGCACUGGGAACUCUAUCAGCAGCCAUUACGUCCCAUCUGGCAGGCACUGUCACCACAAAAACAAAAGGUGUGGGUAGAGAAGACACAGGUCUAUUUCAGGGCAGUAAAACAACCAAACCCAUUGUCCUCGAGUUGAUUCCGACUCAUAGCGACCCUACAGGACAGAGUAGAACUGCCCUAUAGGGUUUUCAAGGAGUGCCUGGUGGAUUCAAACCACCAACCUUUUGGUUAGCAGCCACAGCUCUUAACCACUAUGCCAUCAGGGUUUCAGGGCAGUAGUACAUAUCAAGAAAGAGAAGUGUUUUGGGAAGAUAUAUGCUAUGAACCAAACACAUGACAGGUAUCCAGAAUUUUCAGUUCUAUACAGAAUUUUUUUUAUCACACCAUUAUGCAUUUGUUUCCUUACAUCGAGCCUCAAGUAACCAGGUAUCGGAAGGUGAUGGGGAUAUGGUUAGGAGUCCCUGGGUGAUGCAAGCAGUUAGGCACUUGACUGGUUUACUGAAAGGUUGGUGGUUUGAACCCACCCGGAGGUGCCUCAGAAGAAAGUUCUGAUGAGCUACUUCUAAAUAAUCGGCCCCUGACAACUCUGUGGAGCACUGUUGUAUUCUGACACACCUGGGCUCACGUGAGUAGGGAUCGGCUUGAAGGUGACUGGUUUUUGUUUUUUCUUUUUUGAAGAUACAUUUGGCUCCUGCACCAGAACAAGACAAAAUAAGACAACUGGAGGUGGGCUGGGGAAUAAGGUCACCCUUCUUCAUCAGAAUUUCAUUUUACAGUGGGAAUACAAGGGAAAAACAUUUGGUGUAGUGGUACUCAACUUCAGAAUUCUGGUAUUCUGUUGUGAAAAUCAAAUAAUACCAAAAAAUAUUUAUCUUAAUGGAUACCUAUUUCCUUGCUUUGUUUUAAAUAUAUAACAUUUUCUUAUAGCUUUGGCAUUUGCUACUUCUUGGCUGGAAGCAUCUAGAAGUAGCUGACAAAAUGUUUGAGUAAAAAAACAACUUUCAUUGUGGUUAGUUUCCUAAAGCUUCUUCUUUUUGUGUGUGUUUUUUUUUUUUCAUUGUGGUCUUGUUUGUGCAUAUGACUUUGGAUUGCCUAAUACAUCCUAUUUUGUGCUAUAAAAAACUCUAACCAUGUACAUGCACUGCUUUUAUUUAAAAAACUAAUUAAAAAGAAAGAUAAAUGAAACACUGUCACUCUCCAGCAAUAACUUUGACACUCAUCUUUUCUGUUUAUACGUAUGGGAUUUAUUCCCACUCCUCCAUAAAAUGCAUGGCCCUUCUUCAAUUUGUUAGCAUCAUUUGUCGUGACAGGCAAUACAUGCCUGCUGAGUGCACAGGAGAAUUCUGGGAGGAAAGUCAGUGUUUGAGAGUUUAUAAUCUGGUUGCAGAGAUAUGUCUUGACAUUUUGGAGAGGUAUUUAACUUCUAGUUAUUUUAAAGGCCAAUAAAAUAAACACUAGUUGACCAUGAUUUUUUUUUUUUUUUUUCUUUUAUCAAUAUCACUAGGUGUGAUGGUUAAGGUUGUGUGUCAACUUGGCUGGGCCAUGAUUCUGUGGUUUGGCAGUUAUGCAAGGAUGUAGUUUGGCAGUUAUGUAAUGAUUUAAUUUGACAGUUAUGUAAUGAUGUAAUCAACUAGAUGAGGUGAUCUGAUGUGAUCAACCAAUCUGUUGUAGGAGGCGUUUCCUCAGGGAUGUGGCCUGCAUCCAAUAUAUAUGGACAUUCUGGCAAAGCUCACUGGUUUUUGCUCUUUUGGGAUCCUGCAUCAGGCUCAUCAUCUGACCUCUGGUUCUUGGGACUUGAGUCAGCGACUUGCCGUACUGCCUGACAAUUGUGGAUUCAUCAGCCUCCAGUUUGUGAGCCAGCAGCGAGCUGCCCGACCUGCCAAUCUUGAGUUUGUCAGCCCCUGCAGCUUCACCAAUCAGAAGCCUCCAGAAUGAUGCUUGACCCAAGGACUUGGGACGUGUCAGCCUCUACAAACACAUGAGCCAUUGCUUUAAGGUAACACUAUGUGUGUGUAUAUAUAUAUAUACUUCACUGGCUUUGCUUCUCUAGAGAACCCAGACUAAGAAAUUCAUCACCGAGAGUGAUUUUAGAGAAACAAAAUUUUAAGAAUGAAUUUUUUAAAUUGGUUCACAGCUCUGGUUAGUCUUAAAGAUAUUGAUGACUCUGCUUCCAGCAGUAAAGAGGGCGCUGCUAAUCCAUGGCAUGAGAUGGCAAUAGAAAUAUGCAAAACAUCACCACCAGAAGACCAAGCAUUGGUGAGACGUGAGGCUCUGGGUGAUUGCGUGUUUGAUAUUUUUCUACAAUUCUGUCAGAAUGAGAAGUAUAAGCUAGCUAAUUUGUUGGUCCUACUUAUUAUUUAUUUAUUUCACUUUCACUAGACAAAGCGCUGAAAGAGAUGAGCUCAGGGCUUGAGAGUCACAGUUCAAGUGCAGCAUAGAUGACCUCAGAGUUGCCAAUUGUGCUCUGAAAGCCUUAUUUCUUAGAGCUGAUACUACCAAAAACCAAACUCACAAACUUAUGGUAAGUGAGCUGAAUUACACCACCAAUUGAAUUCCCAACCUUGAAUGCUGUCUGAAGUUAAAGUGAGGACAUUGGGAAGAAAUGGGAUCAUGAAACUUGGGAUGGGGACAUAUGGGCAGAUAAUCAGGAAGUUGGGGACAGUGAACUCCUAAAUUCCUUGAAUCACUCCUGCCAACAGAGCCAGCCAUCUCACUCCCCUCUGAAGAGGUUACUCCAUCUUCGUCAGCUAGGCCCCCCUACCCAGGAAAACCAUUAGCCCCUCCACCCACAUCUGAUGAGAUUAACCCACCUGUGUCUGAAGAGCCUUUUUCUGAGUCGUUACCCGGGGAUGUGUCUGAGUCAUUGCCUGGGACAUCUCUAGAGGCAGAUCCCUUACAAGACAUUACUGAAUGGUCUCAGAACACAUUCUCACCACCCACUUUUGCUUCUAAACCUAUAACUAGACUUAAGUCCCAGUGACCCCCAAAAGGUGAAGUACAAAGUGUAACCCAGGAGGAGGUAUGCUACACUCCAAAAGAGCUGCUUGCCUUUUCUAAUACGUACAGAAACCCGGGGAAUAUGUAUGGGAAUGGCUUUUAAGGAUGUGCAGAGAACAUUAUGGUGUAAGGAACAUUAAUUGGAUCAGUCUGAGUUUACUGAUAUGGGCCCACUAAGCACAGUUCACUGUAGAAAAGAUCUAAUAGUUUAUUUGGUUGGUUUGCUGAAGCAUGGAUUAUGUGAUGGCCUACACUAAAUCAAGUUGAAGUACCAGACCUGCCUUGAUAUGCUGUAGAAGAAGGUAUCAAAAGGCUUAGGGAAAUUAGUAUAUUAGAGCGGAUUUACCAGGUUAGACCCACAGACCCAUACACGGAGUGCCCAGAGGACACAACUUUUACCACAAUGGUGAGGAACAAAUUUGUGAAGGGAGCCCCAGCAUCUUUGAAGCCUGCUGUGACUGCUAGUUUAUGUAAGAUUUGACAGUGGGAACUGCCCUAACUGAAUUAAGACACCUAACUACAAUGGGGCUGAUUGGACCCUGUGGUGGUUGGGGCCAAGUGGUGGCACUCAAUUGACAAAAAUAAGGUGGGCAUGGUUACCAGUAACAGACAGCAGAGUGAAAGCAGUAAUCAGAAUAGUUUGACUCAUAUGGACUUAGGGCAUUGGCUACUUAGUCAUGGUGUCCCUAGGAGUGAACAGAUAGGAAAUCUACUAAAUAUUUACUUGAUCUGUACAAGUGGAAGGAUUCUAAGUGAAGUGAACAGCAGUCUAAAGCGAAUCACCAGAAGAGUCACAGCUCCUCAAUCAAUUCCAAGACUUGAAUGAGUUUAAAGACCCACAACCCCUUGAAUGAAGAGGAGGCCAUGACCCCUUAAGGACCUAGCCACACUGCUAAAAAUUUAUACUGUUAAUCUUUCUCUCAGCCUUCCCCAAAGGGAUUUACGGCCUUUUACGAGAGUGGCUGGUCAUUGGGGAAAAGGAAAUAAUCAGUUUGGGGAUUACCGGAUACUGGCUUGGAACUGACACUAAUCCCAGCAGACCCAAAACUUCACUGUGGCUGAUCAGAGUGGAAGCAUGAGCAGGUCAGGUUAUUUAUGGAGUAUUAGCUCAUGUCUGUCUCACAGUAGGUCCAGUGGUCCCUGAAACCAUCCUGUUGUGACUUCCCCAGUUCCAGAAUGCAUAGUUGGAACAGAUGCUCAGCAAUUGGCAAAACCCCAUAUUGGGUGCCUGACAAAUGGAGUAAGGGCUGUCAUGGUAGGAAAAGCCAAAUGGAAGCCAUUAGAACUGCCCCUACCUAGGAAAAUAGUAAACCAAAAGCAAUACUGCAUUCCUGGAGGGAUUGGAUAGAUUACUGCCACCACCAAAGACUUGAAGAAUGCAGGGGUGGUGAGUCCCACCAUAUCCCCAUUCAAUUCACCUAUUUAGCCUGUGCAAAAAACAGAUGGAUCUUGGAGAAUUAAAGUGGUUUAUUGAAAACUUGGUGACUCCAAUUGCAGCUGCUGUUCCAGAUGUGGUUUCAUUGCUUGAGCAAAUUAAUACAUCUCCUGGUACCUGAUACACAGCUAUUGAUCUGGCUAAUGUCUUUUUCUCCAUACAUGUUUCAAAGGACCACCUGAAGCAGUAUGUCUUCAGAUGACAAGGCCAAAAAUACACACUUGGUGUCCUACCUCAGGGUUAUAUCAACAUUCCAGCCCUAUGUCAUAAUUUAGUCCACAGGACUUUGAUUGCCUUUCUCUUCCACAGACAUACCACUGGUUCAUUAUUACACUGAUGAUACUAUGUUGAUUGGACCUGGUAAGGAAGAAGUGUCUAUGACUCUGGACUUAUUGGUAAAAUAUUUGCAUGCUAGAGGAUGGGAAAUUAAUCCAAUGAAAAUUCAGGUGCUUCCCAUCUCAGUGAAAUUUCUAGGGGUCCAGUGCUGUGGGACAUAUCAAUAUAUUCCUUCUAAAGUGAAGGAUAAGUUAUUGCAUCUGGCCCCACCCACAGCUAAAAAGGAGGCACACAUAGUGGGCCUCUUUGGAUUUUGGAGGAAACAUAUCCCUCAUAUGGGUGUGCUACUCUGGCCUAUUUAUCAAGUGACUACAAAGCUGCUAGUUUUGAGUGGGGCCCAGGGCAAGAGAAGGAUCUGAAACAGGUUCAGGCUGCUGAGCAAGCCACUCUGCCACUUGGGCCACAUGAUCCAGCUGAUCAAUGGUGCUUUAAGCGUCAGUGGCAGAUAGAGAUGCUGUUUGGAGUCUUUGGCAGGCCCCUAUUGAUGAACCAUAGCAUAGACCCUUAAGAUUUUGGAGCAAAGCCCUGCCAUCCUCUGCAAAUAACUACUCUCAAGAAUCAGAUUUUGGCUUGUUACCAGGCCUUACUAGAGACUGAACACUUAACCAAGGGCCACCAAGUCACCAUGAGGCCUGAGCUGCCCAUCAUGAACUGGGUGUUGUCUGACCCACAGAGCCAUAACGGUGGCUGCACACAGCAGCACCCUAUCAUUAAAUGGAAGUGGUAGAUCGAGCCCAAACAGGACCUGAAUGCACAAGUUGCAUGAGAAAGUGGCCCAAAUGUUCAUGGUCUCCAUUCCUGUCACAUUACCUUCUAUCUCCCAGUCUGCACCUAUGGCCUCACAGAGAGUUCCUUAUGAUCAGCUGAGAAAAACUUGUGGACUACAGAUGGUUCUGCAUGUUAUGCAGGCACCAAUUGAAAGUGGACAGCGGCAACAUUACAGCCCCUUCUGGGACCUCCCCGAAGGAUAGUAGUGAAGGGAAAUCCUCCAAAUGGCCAGAACUUCAAGCAGUGUGCCUGGUUGUUCACUUUGCUUGGAAGAAGAAAUGGCCAAUGUGCAAUUGUAUAGUGAUUCAUGGGCUUGGGCCAAUGGUUUUGCUGGAUGGUCAGGGACUUGGAAGGAACAUGAUUGGAAAAUUGGAGAUAAGGCAGUAUGGGGAAUAGGUAUGUAGACAGACCUCCAGAGUGGGCCAAAGAAGUGAAGAUAUUUGUGUCUCAUGUGAAUGCUCAUCAAAGGGUGACCUCAGCAGAGGAUUUUAACAAUCAAGUGGAUAGGAUGCGUUCUGUGGAUAUCAGACAUUCUUUCCUCAGCCACUCCUGUCACUGCCCAAUGGGCUCAUGAACAAAGUGGCCAUGAUGACAGGGAUGGAGGUUAUGCAUGGGCCCAGCAACACGGACUUCCACUCACCAAGGCCAACUUGGCUACAGCCACUGCUGAGCAGCCAAUCUGCCAGCAGCAGAGACCAACACUGAGUCCCUGAUAUGGCACCACCCCUUGAGGUGAUCUGCCAGCAAUCUGGUGGCAAGUUGAUUACAUUGGACCACUUCCAUUAUGGAAAGGGCAGUGUUUUGUUCUUACUGGAAUAGACACUCACUCUGGAUAUGGAUUUGCCUUUCCUGCACACGAUGCUUCUGCCAAAACUACCAUCCGUGGACUUUCAGAACACCUUAUCCACCGUCAUGGUAUCCUGCACAGCAUUGCUUCAGAUCAAGGUACUCAUCUCGCAGGAUAUGAAGUGCGCAGUAGGCCCAUGCUCAUGGAAUUCACUAGUCUUACCAUGUUCCCCAUUAUCCUGAAGCAGCUGGCUUGACAGAAUGAUGGAAUGGCCUUCUAAAGACACAAUUAUGGCACCAGUGAGAUGACAAUAUCUUGCAGGGUUGGGGUAAUGUUCUCCAGGAGAUGGUAUAUGCUCUAAUCCAGCAUCCAAUAUAUGGUGCUGUUUCUCCCAAAGCCAGGAUUCAUGGGUCCAGGAAUCAGUGGGUGGAAAUGGAAGUGGUACCACUCACCAUUACCCCUAGUGACCCACUCACAAAAUUUUUGCUUCCUGUCCCCUCAACCCUAUGCUCUGCAGGUCUAGAGGUCUUAGCUCCAAAAGGAGGAAUGUUCCCAUCUGGGGACACAUCACUGAUUCCAUUGAACUGGGUUAAGAAUCCCACCUGGCCACUUUGGGCUCCUUAUGCCUCUGGAUCAACAGGCAAAGAAGGACAUUACCAUAUUGGCUGGUGUGAAUGAUCCUGAUUACCAAGAGGAAAUCAGAUUGAUAUUACAUAAUGGAAGUAAAGAAGAGUAUGUCUGGUAUGCAGGAGAUUCCUUAGGGUGCCUCUUAGUACUACCAUGCCCUGUGAUUGAAGUCAAUGGAAAACUACAGCAACCCAAUUCCAACAUGACUGCUAAUGGCCUUGACUCUUCAGGAAUGAAGGUUUGAGACACCUUAUCAGGAAAAGAACCAUGACCAGCUGAGGUACUUACUGAGGGUAAAGGCAUUACAGUAUGGGUGGUGGAAGAAGAUAGUUCUAAAUACCAGUGACGACCAUGUGACCAGUUCAGAAAUGAGGACUAUUGUUAUGAGUAUUCCUUCCUUGUAUGUGUGCAUCCAAUAUUUUUGUUUUCUUCACUUAUACAAUAUAAAAUGUAAACAGGGCUAGUGCGUUUUCAGUUGCAUGUGUGUUUGUUGUAUCAUGUUAGGUGCCAAGUAUGACUUCCUAAUUGUAUUUAGAGAUUGUGUUUUGUUUAAGGAGAUAUGUAUAGGUGCCAAAUUGACAAGAAGUGGUGGACUGUGAUGGUUAAUGGUUAAGGCUGUGUGUCAAACUGGCAGUUAUGUAAUAAUGUAAUCACCUUCAAGAUGUGAUCUGAUGUGAUCAGCCAAUCAGUUUUAAGUGGAAUUUCCUUGGGGGUGAGGCCUGUAUCCAAUACAUAUGGAUGGUCUGGAAAAAGCUAACUGGCUUUUGCUCCUUCUGGAUCCUGCAUCUGGCUCAUCAUCAUCUGACUUCCAGUUCCUGGACUUGAGCCUAUGAUCUGAGUAUUGUCUGCCGAUCUUAGGAUUUGUCAGCCUCUGCAGCUAUGUGAGCCAGAAGCCUGACACCAGACCCAAGGAUUUGGUACUUGCCAGUCUCUACAACCAUGUGAGCCAUUUCCUUAAGAUAAUUUUUUCUCUCUAUAUAUAAAUAUAUGCUCCACUAGUUUUGCUUCUCUAGAGAACCUAGUCUGAGACACUAGGGUAAAAUAAACUAAAUGAAAACUAUCUUAGUAUAAACUCAAAUGCUCUCCUUUUAAUAAUGUAUGUUUGGUCACCAAAUGUGACUACCUGUAAACAUAAAAAUAAAGACAGCUUUGUUCUUUGACGGCUUCAGAAAUAGCAACUUUGGCUUUUUAUUCCUUUUAACGGUAGCUGACUAUUUUUUUUUCAUGAUGCAUUUGCUCUGGAUCUGUAAUACUUCAGCUCCCCAGAGAUACAGUGAGGAAAGAGUCCUCGCUUAGAAAACAUUUCCUAAUUUUACAGUUUAAAAGUUCAUACUUUAAAAGAAACACUCUCUUAAUUUCACAACCUCUAUUCCCAUCAUGAAUAAUCUGAUUUAAUACAAGUCUAUAAAUAAAUCUGUUCUUUCUUCUCAAAAAACACUUAAGAAACUUUACAAGAAUUCCUUGUUUAAAAAAUUUAGCUAAAGAAAUUAAGGAAGCAGUCAUUUAACCCCUAUUACUAGGUGGUGCUCAAGUAUUCACGUCUCAAGGCCAGUACAGGAGCAUUCCCUUAGUUUUUCCACUGGCGUACUGGCAUGGUCUUCUCAAUCACUCUUUUCUUCUCCUUGAUAAUGUCUGUAUUCUGGCUUCAGCUCCCAUGUGUUUUUGUGGGUCCCUUUUACAUUCUGAAUACCAAUUUCUCUUAAGAUUUCCUUCAGGUACACCUAAAAAAAAACAUAACCCCCAAAAGAUGAGAUUAUGAAGGCAGGAAAUACAACUUAAAAUAAAAAUGAUAUGCUAAAGGACAUUUAUGAGUGAUAAAAAUUACGAUCCUGCAAGAUCAGGGAGAUUUCUCUAUAAACAUGUUCAGUAAGCUGCCUUUUGAUUCUACACAUGCAUUACAUGAUUAAAUAUGUGAUAAUCUACAUCAAAGGGGUUGAAGUCCUGAAUGCCAACAACUGUAGAGCUUUAAAAAAAAAAAGUCUAGAUGAAAACACACUAGAAAAUUACUGGUGCUCAACGUUGAUUAAUAUGAUACAGCAUAUUAAGUACAUUCUGCUCUUGGUAUGCAUGGCAUUCAAGGAUUCAGUUCACAAUCAGAUAGGGUUAUUCCGAUUUCAGGAGCAAAAGCAUAUUGUUAUGGAUUGAACUGUGUCCCCCCAAAAUAUGUGCUGUAAGUCCUAACCCCUAUACCUGUGGAUGGAAACUGGUGGCAUAGUGGUUAAGAGGUUCGGCUGGUAAUCAACAGGAUGGCAGUUCAAAUCCACCAGGCGUCCCUGGAAACCCUAUGGGGCAGUUCUACUCUGUUCUAUAGGGUCGCAAUGAGUCAGGAUCCACUUGACAGCAACAGGUGCAUGGGUAUACCUGUUGGCACAAUGGUUAAGCAUCUGGCUGCUAGCCAAAAGGGUGGCAAUUUGAACCCACCAGUGGCUCUGCAGGAAAAAAGACCUGGCAAUCAGCUCCUAUAAAGAUUACACCCUUGUAAACCCUAUGGGGCAGUUCCACUCAGUCCUACAGGGUUGCUGGGAGUGGGAAUCCACUUGAUGGCACACAGCAACAGCAUACCUGUGGAUGUAAUCUCAACUGGGAAACAGGGUUUUCUGUUAUGUUAAUAAGGUCACAUCAGUGUAGGGUGUGUCUAAAGUCAAUCACUUUUGAGACAUAAAAAGAUCAGAUUAGGCACAGGAACAAUGAAGCAAAGAUAGAAGAAAGAUGCCAGGCCAUAUGAGGAUUACCAAGAAUGAGGAGCUGAAGCUGAAGAGACAAGGAUCUUUCUCCCCCAGAGCCAAAAGAGAAAAGGCGUUCUCCUAGAGCUGGCAGCCUGAAUUUGUGUUUCUACUGUAUUAAAAUGUGAGAAGAUGAAUUUCUGCUUGUUAAAGCCACCCACCUGUGGUAUUCUGUUAAAGCAGCACUAAGAAACUAAGACACAUAUAAGAAAAGAAAAAUAUUUUUUUGAAAGAUAUAUUCUCUGAACCAAGCAAAUAACAGGUAUAAAGAAUUCUCAGUUCCAAGGUGGUUUCUCAAAUUUGCUACAAGGCCACAAUUUUUCCUGUGUAAUAAGGAAAAUUAUUAUUUGUGCCGGCCAAGCCUGCCAAGACAGAAUGAGAGGAAAGAACUGGUAAUGAGGUGAGCUAAGAUGUGGGGUAGAACUCUGUACUCUGGUAUUGUAGGUCCCUGAAAAUUCAAAAGACAUUUACCAAAUGAUUGCUAUAUUCACAGAAAUGAUGGCUACGGCAUAUAAAACUCCACCUUUGCUCGCCAAUGAGCAAGGCCAAAAAGCAUUCCACUAGAAAUUGACUAAUGUAAAUUAUAGUCUUUCCUUCUUGGAGAGAAAAGUUAAUUAUUAAGGUGUGAUUUUCUUGCUGCGGAACAAACCGAUCCAACAAUUUUGGUGUGUGUGCUUCAAUUCAAAGACCAGUUACAGUAUUAGAGUGACUCAUCCCGAACAAAAUAUUCUUAAUAAGAUUGAUCUAAAAUGUGCUCCUCAAUUCUAAAGAGGCAGUGGAUGUAAGAAAACCUAAACAAAAGUAUUUAAGUUUUGUGCAAGUCAAAAGUAAUAUCUUGAUAUUAAUUCAGUAGGUUAUUUGAGUUUGAGGUAUGUACAAUGUGGAUUUUAUUAUUAGCUUUUGACUGAGGUAGGGUGGGAGUAAUGCUAUACUCGGGUCAAGAACUUACUUUUCCUCAAAAUAGGGGUCCAGGAGAAGGCCAUCAUGAAGGACAGGCAAGGGACUAGUACGGGCUAUUUAAAAAUUGUGGUGCAAACAUACACUUUAAACAUUUGUGGAUUUUCUGAUGUCUGCUGUUAAGAGGAUAAGGGGAGGUAUGAUGAUUCGAAUCAAGGGAACAGCACUGGCAAUGCCCUCUAACACCAUUCUGAAACUGCCACACAUAAAACAAUUGUAGAGUAUUCUUUAAAAUCAGAAUUUUUGUUAUUUAUUAAAAAGUGUGGUUUUAUUCUGAUAUGGAGAAACUUAAUACAGAAAAAAAAUAAAUGAUUAGCUGAGUCACAUAUCACAGCUGAGGCAGAGCAGGGAAAAAGCCAGUGUGGAAAUCUGAGCUCCAAUUCUAGCUCUGCCCACUGACGCAGGAGUGUGCCUCACACAGAUCACAAGUUCUCAGCUCUAUCAUCUACAGAACAAAGGGUGGGCGGCACCGGUGACCCUCGUGCGGAGGUCAGGGAGUACUGGAACUCCAGAGUGUUAGUGUGCGUGUGUGUGUGCACGUGUGCGCCCACGCUGUGGACAUUGUUUGAAGUCUUUGCCACUGAAAUUUCACAAACUUUAAAUGAAGUCAUCGUAUUUUUUAUAUUUAUUGAAAUGAGGAAAAAAAUCAAGAAGCUCUUGCCUAGAAAAUAUUUCAGGCAGUGCCCUUCUCAAGUGUGAUGCUAGAACUAUCUGCAUCAGAACCUCACAGGAAGCUUGUUCAAUAAGCCUCCUCUUAGGCUCAGUGAAUCAAAACCUCUGGGGCCAGGCUCAGGAAUGUACAUUUUUAACAAGCCCCCAGUGAUUCUGAUUUAACUACCCUAAUGCUUCACACCAUGUGCUCUAAGGACUCGUCCAGCUCUAAGAUACUGUGACUUUCGGUCCUUGGUGCAUUGCUUAGCUCUCACCACUGCUCGAUGUAUGCAUUACCAACACAAUUUACAACACCUUACACUGCUACAAUGCUCUGUAGUUUAUAAGGUUCUUUCGCUUAUAGGUAGGUUCUCACCUAGAAACACAAUCGCUGAUCAGCCUGGGAACUACAAGCUGGUUCCUUGGGAGGCCGUGGCUAGGUGCUCUCACUCAGCAGCUUUCCCAUUCCAGCUGCCAGGCCCCAGCAGGUGGCAGCAAUGAAUCAAAGGAGCCCUGGUCCCGCAGGAGCCAGCCUGUCUCCCAUACCUUCUGCAGUUGGCUUCCCUAAUGGACCUGUGUGAAUGAGUAAGCAUGAAGGCCUGAAGCGGCCAGGUAAGAUGCACCUCUGCCAUCUGCUCCUUCAAAUUACGUUUAGAAAACGAGACACUCUUCAUAAACUCCUUCUUAAUUGAAUGGGAUUCAUGGGUGGAAAAUGACAGGCUGUGCACAAAUAAUUGUCAGUGUUAGUGCCAAGAAUGGCAUCUUUGUAAAAUCCCAAAGAACCCCGGGUUAUUGUGUGACUGGCUAAGACCCCGUGCACAAACCACCACACAGUUGUGGGUGCAGGCAGUGGGGCCAACCUUGAACAGAGCGAUCGCCAGUGGCUUCUGGGUAGCCCCAUAGCAGCUCUCUCAACUUCAAGUCCAGUGUGCCCAUUUUAUAGUCUAGGGGUACAAAAUGGAAAGCCUAAAAAGGCUUAAACACAAAAUAUUUAGAAAGUUUUAAGUGUACAAAUUUAGUUGCUUUAUGUGUAUUCUGUCCCUGUUCUGGCAGAAUAAAGUAAUGGGGUAUUUUCUAUAUACGAAGAUGUCACCCUCUGAAAGUGAUAAGAAUGGAGGAAGAUAUUCCCAGCCUCUCAAUUUGUGAGGUAACAAGAUGGAAUUAGGGUCACAAGAUCUAGCCAUGGUACAGAAUUUUUUUUUUUUGGGAGGAGUGGGGGCGGGGGAGGAGUGGAGGAAGCAAAUGUCCUGGAUUUUUAUGGUGUUCCAAACUGUAACCUAAGAUGAAUUACUCUAACCAAAUGAUUUAGUUUGGCAAGGGAACAGGCCAAACCAUUAGCAGGGAAAGUAGUAGUAACAACAAGGAAAAACAAGAUCAGAAAAUUGCUGAAGAAGGCACAGGCAGACGACAGCGAGAUCAUGAUAUUCCUCUGCCUAAAAAUUUUUAACAACUUUCCCUUUGGCCAAGAGGUUAAAUUUCAAACUCCUUCACAGGUAUCCAUCCAGGUCUGCUUUUCCCUUGGGCCUCAUUUUUUCGUACGGUCCCUUACCAAAACUAUUGCUGUUGAGCCGAUUCCAACUCAUAGCUAGCGCUUCUGGUUCUUUCCACAUGCAGUCCCCUUUCCCUGUAACGCCUGUCCCCUUCCUCAGAUAGGAACUCCUUGUCCUUCAAGAUUAGACUCAAUGCCACUUUCUCACAGCAGCUUUCCCUAACAGCCCACCCUUAGAUUUACAUUUCACACUGCACAUACUUCAAAGAUUGUCCUUAAUACACUAUAUUAUAAUCCUUUAAUUUACAUAAGAUAAACAUCUUUCCUAUUAAACCCUCACCCACAGUUGGUAGGAAUGUAAAAUGGUACAGCUGCCAUGGAAAACAGUUUGGUGGUUCCUCAGUUAAACAGAGAACUACCAUAUGGCCCAGCAAUUCCACUCUUGGGUAUAUAUCCAAAAGACCUGAUUGAAAGCAGGGACUCAGUUACUUGUACACUCAUGUUCACUGCAGCAUUAUUCACAAUAGCCGAAAGGUGGAAAACAACUCAAGUGCCCAUCAACAGAGGAAUGGAUAAACAAAAUGUAGUAUAUACAAACGAUGAAAUAUUAUUCAGCCAUAAAAAAGAAUGAAGUGCUGACACAUGCUACAACAUGGAUGAACCUGAAAACAUUAUGUUAAGUGAAAUAAGCCUGACACAAAAGGCCACAUAUUGUAUGAUCCCCAUUAUGUGAAACAUCUAGAAGAGACAAAUGCAUAGAGCAGAAAGGAGGUUAUUGGUUAUGGACUCGGGGGAGGAGAAUAUGGGAAGUUAGAGCUUAUUGGGUAGAGUUUCUGUUUGAGGUGAUGAAAAAGUUUUGGCAACAGUGGUAACUGAUGGUUGUACAACACUGUGAGUGAGAUUAAUGCCACUGGAUUAUACAUUAAAAUGGUUAAAGUGGCAAAUUUUUGGUUGUAUUUUACCACACAGGCGCACGUGAGUGUGCGCAUACAUACACAUCCAGAAAGAAAAGACAAGGAACUACGGACUGCUGGAUUGGUGGUGUGAGGGGAGAUCAGGUACCAGGUUCACAGGGGUAAACCAUGUCUAUUCUUUCUAGUUCUUGUUAGAACUCAGGCUCUGAUUAGCUUACAGGGCAAUGUCCCAGGUUUGAAAGAUAAAAUUUUACUGAUUAAAUUGCAGUACCUCACUAUGAAUGACUAUUACUAAAAUGCUGCUGGAGACAAAGCCAACUGAGGGGUAGAUUUCUUAGGUUCUAACAAGAUUGAAGAUUAAUUGCUAAUCUUGUUUUCCUUUUUAAAAUUAAUGCACUCACUUGAAUAUUUAUUGUAGCACCUACUGGGUGCCAGGCACAGUAGGUCAAAAGAUUAAAGUCAGUCUUCAUCCUCAGAAUUCAUAGUUUAAGAUUAGGGUGUGGAGGGGAGAGAAAAAAGCAAUUAUAAAAUAAAGUAGAAGCAAAGAAAGAAAGGGAUAUGCACAGGGUAUUUCGGGAGAAUGGAGAAGGGAUGCCUAAUCCAGCCUGAGUCAAGAUGUUAGGUUCUUUGAGAAUGUAUAUUUGAUCAUUUGACCUCAACACCAAUUCUGUAUAGAGAGCAAGGGAAACUAGUUCUCUUUUUAGUGUAAACAUUGAGUGGCUUUCCAAUUAAAUUUUUUUGGCUGACCACGUGUAUUUUUAACAAAGAACUCUAGACCUGAUUGCAUAGGUCACCUUUAUGUCACACAGGAUUGGAGGAUUUCUCACUGCAGACCAUGUGCAGCACAAGAUCUGAAAUCAUAAACUGGCUUGGGUUCAGCAAGUCUUCACCAAAGGGAUGUGUGGGAGAGUAUUUAGAGCAAGUCUAAAUGCAAAGAAAAAAUGGACAGAACAUCAUAGCUUCCUUGGGAGGAAAAGGCAAAAAACAUACUGGAACAAAUGGGUCAAGUGCUUAGGAUGUUGUUUUUUAUCUGUGGGUCAAGAAAAAGUUGUGGUAGCCCAAAAAACAAAAAUCCAUAAAUUAACUUCCUAGUUUUCUAUAAAGACUGAGACAAACCUACAUAGAGUCACAAACCACAGUAGCCUACUAUUUUAGUCUUUCUUUUCCUCUUCCUUCUCUCCCUUCUCCUCCCUGCCAUUUCUCAUAGUUCUCUUUUCCUCUACUGCUCUGCCAACCAAAUGCAAGACUUACCUGCAAGGCAUCAGAGGCAUUUCAGUGAUAAGGACUGCAUAUGCAAUCAACCACAUCUGAAUUCCUAGCUGAUCAAAAACAUACCUUUGAUAGAGAGCUGAUCACCAAGUACUAAUGCUUUGUUGUUGGUGUUAGGUGGUUGUUGUUAGUUGUUAUAUUAGUUGUGGUUAUAUUAGCUGUUGUUAUAUUAGUUGUAUUAGUGUUACUGUUAGUUUCAACUCAUGGCAACCCUAUAGGACACAGUAGGGUUUCCAAGGAGUGGCUGGUGGAUUUGAACUGCCGACCUUUUGGUUAGCAGCUGAGCUCUUAAUCACUGCACCACCAGGGUUCCAUUAAUGCCUUAAAAAAAAAGAAAAACCCACUGCCGUCUUAGGUAAGCUAAUAUGACCCUUUUUUAGGCUUCUAGUAAAAAAAUCUUCCCAGAAAAUUUAGACUGAAUAUGCAAUAUGCAGAUCUAUACCAAAAAAAAAAAAAAGAUAGCA